rnacentral:rRNA from 1 species
AUUGAACGCUGGCGGCAUGCCUUACACAUGCAAGUCGAACGGUAACGGGCCUUCGGGUGCCGACGAGUGGCGAACGGGUGAGUAAUGUAUCGGAACGUACCUUUCAGUGGGGGAUAACGUAGCGAAAGUUACGCUAAUACCGCAUAUUCUGUGAGCAGGAAAGCAGGGGAUCGCAAGACCUUGCGCUGAUUGAGCGGCCGGUGUCAGGUUAGCUAGUUGGUGAGGUAAAGGCUCACCAAGGCGACGAUCUGUAGCGGGUCUGAGAGGAUGAUCCGCCAGACUGGGACUGAGACACGGUCCAGACUCCUACGGGAGGCAGCAGUGGGGAAUUUUGGACAAUGGGGGCAACCCUGAUCCAGCCAUGCCGCGUGAGUGAAGAAGGCCUUCGGGUUGUAAAGCUCUUUCGGCCGGGAAGAAAUCGCACGGGCUAAUACCCUGUGUGGAUGACGGUACCGGAAUAAGAAGCACCGGCUAACUACGUGCCAGCAGCCGCCGUAAAAC